rnacentral:rRNA from 1 species
GAUGAACGCUGGCGGCGUGCCUAAUACAUGCAAGUCGAGCGAACAGACGAGGAGCUUGCUCCUCUGACGUUAGCGGCGGACGGGUGAGUAACACGUGGAUAACCUACCUAUAAGACUGGGAUAACUUCGGGAAACCGGAGCUAAUACCGGAUAAUAUAUUGAACCGCAUGGUUCAAUAGUGAAAGACGGUUUUGCUGUCACUUAUAGAUGGAUCCGCGCCGCAUUAGCUAGUUGGUAAGGUAACGGCUUACCAAGGCAACGAUGCGUAGCCGACCUGAGAGGGUGAUCGGCCACCCUGGACCUGAGACACGGUCCAGACUCCUCCGGGAGGCAGCAGUAGGGAAUCUUCCGCAAUGGGCGAAAGCCUGACGGAGCAACGCCGCGUGAGUGAUGAAGGUCUUCGGAUCGUAAAACUCUGUUAUUAGGGAAGAACAAAUGUGUAAGUAACUAUGCACGUCUUGACGGUACCUAAUCAGAAAGCCACGGCUAACUACGUG